rnacentral:rRNA from 1 species
GAUGAACGCUGGCGGCGUGCCUAAUACAUGCAAGUCGAGCGAACAGACGAGGAGCUUGCUCCUCUGACGUUAGCGGCGGACGGGUGAGUAACACGUGGAUAACCUACCUAUAAGACUGGGAUAACUUCGGGAAACCGGAGCUAAUACCGGAUAAUAUAUUGAACCGCAUGGUUCAAUAGUGAAAGACGGUUUUGCUGUCACUUAUAGAUGGAUCCGCGCCGCAUUAGCUAGUUGGUAAGGUAACGGCUUACCAAGGGAACGAUGCGUAGCCGACCUGAGAGGGGGAUCGGCCACACAGAAACUGAGACACGGUCCAGACUCCUACGGGAGGCAGCAGUAGGGAAUCUUCCGAACAGGGCGAAAGCCUGACGGAGCAACGCCGCGUGAGUGAUGAAGGGCUUCGGAUCGUAAAACGCUGUUAUUAGGGAAGAACAAAUGUGUAAGUAACUAUGCACGUCUUGACGGUACCUAAUCAGAAAGCCACGGCUAACUACGU